GCCGAAGUAGCUCAGAGGUAGAGCACCUGAUUCGUAAUCAGUAGGUCCGGGGUUCAAAUCCCCGCUUCGGCA
rnacentral:tRNA from 1 species